AUUGAACGCUGGCGGCAGGCCUAACACAUGCAAGUCGAGCGGAUGAAGGGAGCUUGCUCCUGGAUUCAGCGGCGGACGGGUGAGUAAUGCCUAGGAAUCUGCCUGGUAGUGGGGGAUAACGUCCGGAAACGGGCGCUAAUACCGCAUACGUCCUGAGGGAGAAAGUGGGGGAUCUUCGGACCUCACGCUAUCAGAUGAGCCUAGGUCGGAUUAGCUAGUUGGUGGGGUAAAGGCCUACCAAGGCGACGAUCCGUAACUGGUCUGAGAGGAUGAUCAGUCACACUGGAACUGAGACACGGUCCAGACUCCUACGGGAGGCAGCAGUGGGGAAUAUUGGACAAUGGGCGCAAGCCUGAUCCAGCCAUGCCGCGUGUGUGAAGAAGGUCUUCGGAUUGUAAAGCCCUUUUGGUUGGGAAGAAGAGCAGUAAGUUAAUACCUUGCUGUUUUGACGGUACCAACAGAAUAAGCACCGGCUAACUUCGUG
rnacentral:rRNA from 1 species